UACGGAGGAUGCAAGCGUUAUCCGGAAUGAUUGGGCGUAAAGCGUCCGCAGGUGGCUAUGUAAGUCUGCUGUUAAAGAGCAAAGCUUAACUUUGUAAAAGCAGUGGAAACUACAUAGCUAGAGUGCGUUCGGGGCAGAGGGAAUUCCUGGUGUAGCGGUGAAAUGCGUAGAGAUCAGGAAGAACACCGGUGGCGAAGGCGCUCUGCUAGGCCGCAACUGACACUGAGGGACGAAAGCGUGGGGAUCAAACAGG
rnacentral:rRNA from 1 species